UACAGAGGGUGCAAGCGUUAAUCGGAAUUACUGGGCGUAAAGCGCGCGUAGGUGGUUUGUUAAGUUGGAUGUGAAAUCCCCGGGCUCAACCUGGGAACUGCAUUCAAAACUGACAAGCUAGAGUAUGGUAGAGGGUGGUGGAAUUUCCUGUGUAGCGGUGAAAUGCGUAGAUAUAGGAAGGAACACCAGUGGCGAAGGCGACCACCUGGACUGAUACUGACACUGAGGUGUGAAAGCGUGGGGAGCAAACAGG
rnacentral:rRNA from 1 species